CAGAAAUCAUUGAAGACAUCAAUACACACGUGGGUAAGACUGACCAGAGACUAAUACGAGAGACCAAACAUGUACGGAAAAUUGGAGAAAAGGCUAAAGACUGUUCUUUCUUUAUCAUCAUUGUCGUCCUACUACUAGCCAUUGUCAUCAUCGCAUGCAUACCAUACAAGAAAAAUUGAAGAGCUGUGAGAGUUGAUGUAUCUAUUUAAAUCAUGGAGAAAAUUCUUAAAAAGUGAACAGUAUUUUGAUCUUCUUUGUGAGAAAGGACAUUGGCAACAUGGAAUCCACAUGUAUUAUGGAUUAUUUAUUUGGAUGUCUGCUGCAAAUCACACCACAAUGGCACACUGCAAAAAAUAAUGGUGUUAUUGUUACACCUUUUGUUCUUACACCAAUGUUAAAUAUAUAGUGUAAGUUUGACAUCAAUUGGUGUUAUUAUAAUUCAUGUGGUUGUGAUGUUGACACUAUUUGGUGUUACAAUCAAUCUUCAGGGUGUUAGAUUACUACCAGGGGUGGUGUUUCACAAAGAGUUCAGUGUGACUUAAAGUCAAGCUUAAGUUCUAAUGUGCGGAAUUAAUACGCAGUACAGCAUGUCUCCUUGUGCUUGAUCUGAGUCCCAUUUCAUAAAACUUAUUAUGAUAUUACAAACUUGCAUUAACCGUUUAAAACUACUGAAAUCCAUCAGAUUGACUGGCUGAUAGUCAACUUGGUAUAAAAAUGGUGCAUUUGUUAUUAUAACAAAAGUCUUUGUGAAACAGGAUCCUGACCAAUGCAGUUGUGCAUCAUAUACCAGAUGCUCUUGGGAUUUAAGUCAUACUUAAAUCUUUGAGAAACACCCUCAAAGUGUGUAUUCUUACAUUAAGAUUAAAUUAAUGGUAUCAUUGCAAGCAAUCUAAUCUUGUGAUGAAGGGAAACCAGUUAUUACAACUAUUUUAGAAAAUGUUUACCGAGCUGCGAUUGUGGCAAUUUAUCUCAGCAAGGAAUAUUGAUUUCUGCCAGGUAACUAGUUGCCUCACCUGGGUUGAGUGUGGCAAGUUAAACCAAAGGACACUAUCGUCAUAGCAGGGGCAAGGAUAUAGGAAGAAACUAGCAGUUGAUAGCUUAUUACAUGUAACUUUAUUAGGGUUAAUGCUUAACUUCUCUUUUGCACCAGACAGUUCAGCAUUGAUUUGCUCUUGUUCAUAUUGAACUUUCAAUAGCAGAUUGCAAUUAAAAUUUGAAAUUGUUCGUCGAAAUCUUUUCUGAAACACACUUCUCUAAGAGUUGAGCCUGUACUAUACAUAUUCCAGUCAUAUGAAGUCCUUACAAAGUUCACAGUAUUUACAUUUUGUUGUUUUGAAGGUUUUUUUUUGGCAAGUUACACUCAAAUAUGCAGAAAAACACUACUUUUUAUCUUGGUCAAGAAGCGGAGCAAAAAAAACAACAACUUCAAAAGGUCAUUUAAUCGCUCUUUCCCCCAGGUGAACCCAUAAGAACCUAAGACAGGUGGGAAUUUAGACUCUGUUCUCAUUUAUUUCCAAGAUGAAGACUAAUCUUCAUGAAUAUAUAUUGGAAAUUAACCUGGACACUGGACAAAAUCCCUGUCCUCAUAUUAAUACCUUGUAUUUCUGAUAUUUUCAAGUUUAUAUGGAUGAAAAGUUUGUUGCUCCAAUUCUUUGAAGCAGAUAUCAGAUAGCCAGGUACGACUUAUUAACCCUACACAUGCUGUUAAUGGAUACUGGAAUAUGUCUCAAAAGUCAAAACGCAUGGUUAUUGGAGUUUGCUGUACGUGUAUUUUGAUUUCCAUUAGGUUUCAAGGGGCCAGUUUUAUGAUGUCUUAGAUAUAAUCACCGGUUUGUCUUAAUUGUACAUAAAUUAUGGGUGUUAGUAUGAAAUGGCGUACCAUGCAAUGUUGAUGCUUGAUCCUGUACCAACUGAAAGAAAGUUUUUGUAACUGCUUUACCAGUGAGUGCAUUGAAAACUCAGCUAAAAAUUGAGUUAAAAACAGAAGAGCAAUUUGCAUCCUAUUUUAUUGAUCAUUCUUGUGCAGUACAAAGAUGUAUGAAUUUAAAAUCUGAUUGAUCUACAUUCUUGGUUUGGAAAUGGGUUGUCACAUUUGUUACUUCUCUACACAAUAUCACACCUGCCUGAAUGCCCCUAGUUUCCCCACUGACAAGUGAAAUAAAAAUGAUUUUUUUUAUCCCUGAAAAACCGACUAGUUCUGGUCACCCCUUUGCCCCGUGGUAAGGUGUCGGGUGACUAAUUUCCACCACUUGAAAAUCCCUUGUGACAAACUUGUAAAGAAACAUGCAUUUUGAUACCGUUUUCUUUCUUUGUAUUCAAGCUGUAAAAUAUGGUUAUUAUAAUUAUUCCCUGAAAUCUCAUUAUUUAGAUAUCUUAGAAGUCACAAAUGGCCGUAUGCAGACAUUUUAUGCAGGGGGGGAGGCAGGAUGUGCAAAAUUUUUCAAAAGCAAGGGAGUGAAGCGACCAAGCUUGUCAUUUGGGCGCUUUUGUAUUUUGUAAAAAGUGAAAUUGAAGGAUUUUGUGCAUACUUUUGGUGAAUUUUGUGAAAAUUUUCAUUAAAAGAUGUAAAUUUUCAGGGGGGAAACUGCCCUCUGCCUCCCGCUGUGUAUGGCCAUGUAGUUAUAUACUUAUGGUUCUUGAUAUUUUGUUUAAUUAACGUUCCUAAUGUUUUCAUUCUAUGGGUCAACAUCUCUUUGUAUAUAAUAUGUGUUAUAUUUUUUCCACAGUGCAAUCUUGACUGAUCGGUCCAUGUUUACAAGACGUAUGAUACUUAAAUAAAUCAAUAUAUGUAUUGUAUUGCUAAGCUAAUAAGGGAUGUUUUAUGAGGUGUAAAAUUAAGUUAUGGUGAUUGUUCAGAAAGGGCUAUAUUUUUGCUCAGGUGAAGUCAACAUUAAUUUUUUUGCUCACAUUGCCUUUUAUUUGCUAUGACAUAUACAACUGUAAAAAUAACAAAGUAAUACCUUCAUUUUUGCACAUUUAUAUCACAUGUAUAUCUGGAUUUAUUUGAAUAAAUGAGUAAUAUGCAUUUAUAGUAAA